UACGGGGGGGGCAAGCGUUGUUCGGAAUUACUGGGCGUAAAGGGCUCGUAGGCGGCCAACUAAGUCAUACGUGAAAUCCCUCGGCUUAACCGGGGAACUGCGUCUGAUACUGGAUGGCUUGAGUUCGGGAGAGGGAUGCGGAAUUCCAGGUGUAGCGGUGAAAUGCGUAGAUAUCUGGAGGAACACCGGUGGCGAAGGCGGCAUCCUGGACGAUGACUGACGCUGAGACGCGAAAGCGUGGGGAGCAAACAGG
rnacentral:rRNA from 1 species